rnacentral:lncRNA from 1 species
UAUACUUCCUGCUUGCAUAUACAGAAAAGGAAAGAGCCACCAAAGGGCAUCUCUCUGGCCCUUUCACCAGCCGUGAGGAGACACUUCAGACCUCAAGGCUGGAUGGCAUUAACUGACUUUCAGGACAUCGAGCCCAUUGGUCUUACUUCUGUUUCCCACCACAAGUUUGAGAUGUAAUUAAUUCCUGCUGCAUGCUCAGUCAUGUUUUAUUGCCUAAUUAACCUCAGGCAGUCUCUUGCCAUUCACAGGACAAUCCAAAGUAGCUGCACUUGGACACAGAGAGGAUGAAGAGGAAGAUUUCCUUCACCAGCUGGGGCAGUAGGGUCUCUGCCGAUGGAUGCAGAGACGACCUCAAGUCCCCAAAGUGGUCUGGACCUCCCUGGCCAAAGGAACCCAAGAAAUGGCCUGGGGCUUGUCACAGACAAAGGUUACCUGAUUACAUUACUGUAGUAGGCAGUUGGGUGGCUUCUGUAGGAGCCACACUGGAGACAUCCAUCAAAGAACAUUUCAGUGGGCAGGUCAAUGCUUAAUGAAAGUGUCAGUGGCUUUCACAGAAAAGUUUAUCUUGAUUCCUGUUAACACUCUGGAUAAUAAACUUCACACUUUCUCUGAUAAAUGGUCUUUC